rnacentral:rRNA from 1 species
GACGAACGCUGGCGGCGUGCUUAACACAUGCAAGUCGAACGGAAAGGCCCUGCUUUUGUGGGGUGCUCGAGUGGCGAACGGGUGAGUAACACGUGAGUAACCUGCCCUUGACUUUGGGAUAACGUCAGGAAACUGGGGCUAAUACCGGAUAGGAGCUCCUGCUGCAUGGUGGGGGUUGGAAAGUGUCGGCGGUUGGGGAUGGACUCGCGGCUUAUCAGCUUGUUGGUGGGGUAGUGGCUUACCACGGCGUUGACGGGUAGCCGGCCUGAGAGGGUGACCGGCCACAUUGGGACUGAGAUACGGCCCAGACUCCUACGGGAGGCAUCAGUGGGGAAUAUUGCACAAUGGGCGGAAGCCUGAUGCAGGAACGCCGGGUGCGGGAUGACUGCCUUCGGGUUGUAAACCGCUUUCGCCUGUGACGAAGCGUGAGUGACGGUAAUGGGUAAAGAAGCACCGGCCAACUACGUG